ACAUAUUUUGCUUAAUUGUCCAGAGAUUCAAUCAUAUGUCAACUUGUUCGUAAACACAUGGGGUAAUGAAGCCAUCUAUACAGAAUUUUCCAAAUGGCUGAGGAACUAUAUGUCAUCAGGCGGUGACGGUGAUAGACAUCACGAGCAUCUUGGAGUUAGCCAGACUAAACAUGCUAAGAAGAAGAAGUCUAGGAGACCGAUAGAUCCUGAGGAUAUUGCAGGAUCUAUUU